rnacentral:rRNA from 1 species
ACAAAGAGAGUAGCGCACUGGUGAGUAACACGUGGGAACGUACCUUGAAGUGGGGAAUAGCGUCUGGAAACGGACGAUAAUACCGCAUAAUCCCUGAGGGGGAAAGAUUUAUCGCUUUAAGAACGGCCCGCGGAAGAUUAGGUAGUUGGUGGGGUAAAGGCCUACCCAAGCCUACGAUCUAUAGCUGGUCUGAGAGGACGAUCAGCCACAUUGGAACUGAGACACGGUCCAAACUCCUACGGAAGGCAGCAG